UACCCUACGGGGGGCAGCAGUGGGGAAUAUUGGGCAAUGGGCGCAAGCCUGACCCAGCAACGCCGCGUGAAGGAAGAAGGCUUUCGGGUUGUAAACCUCUUUUAUAAGGGAAGAAUAAUGACUACGUGUAGUCAGAUGCCCGUACCUUAUGAAUAAGCAUCGGCUAACUCCGUGCCAGCAGCCGCGGUAAUACGGAGGAUGCGAGCGUUAUCCGGAUUUAUUGGGUUUAAAGGGUGCGUAGGCGGUAUUUUAAGUUAGUGGUAAAACGUCGGGGCUUCACCUUGAUUGGCCAUUAAAACUGGAGU
rnacentral:rRNA from 1 species